GUAGGUGAACCUGCGGAAGGAUCAUUAUC
rnacentral:ncRNA from 2 species